rnacentral:rRNA from 1 species
UACGUAGGGGGCGAGCGUUGUCCGGAUUUACUGGGCGUAAAGGGCUCGUAGGCGGUCUGUCGCGUCGAAAGUGAAAACCCAGGGCUUAACCCUGGGCCUGCUUCCGAUACGGGCAGACUAGAGGUAUGCAGGGGAGAACGGAAUUCCUGGUGUAGCGGUGAAAUGCGCAGAUAUCAGGAGGAACACCGGUGGCGAAGGCGGUUCUCUGGGCAUUACCUGACGCUGAGGAGCGAAAGUGUGGGGAGCGAACAGG